CCUUUAAAGUGGUUGAAGUUUAUGCCAUCAUCGUUCACAUAGCUUAGUGCUAUGCUAAGUACUGCUCCUGUCUUAUAUAUGCUGCGAUCGUAAGGCCAAACUAGCUUAAAAUACCUGGUAAAUGAAUGGUUUCAGCGAUAUAUAAACAAGAUAUCUGUAUCUAGAAAAUGGGAAGCAAUGAUUUUCAACAAUUAGACCCUCCUCUUCUAUUCGGCUUAAAAAUAGUCCACCGUCCAACGAUUAACAUUAAUAAAAUCUUAACUUCAAUAUUUUUUUUCCCACCAUUGGCCACCAGGCGUCACGUUGUGUUUUGGUGCGGGAAGCUAAUGAGAAUAAUAGUCGGAGCUGCAAAAAAUAUAAAUAUUUUCCUUAUAUGGGAUAAGUUUUGUAAAUUAGAUGUAUGCCGAAUGGUAAAGUAGACUGUUAUUAUUCACACAAGAGAUAUGAGAAUUGUUAAAAGCGUAUAUAACUUCUCCAGUCACCAAGGCCACUUUAAAUUGUCAGGUUUUCCAUAGCUAUUUGAAUUUAGCGAACCAUUCUCUCUGUAGCUUCACUGGAACUGCCCAUAUCGGGGCAUAUGCACAUGCUAAGCUAGUUGGCUAGCUUUCGAAUUGGGUCACAAUACAUAAGGGAUUUGAUGUUUAACGCUAAAAUCAUCGAGGGGGUUCAUAUAAUUGAUAUAUCUUCACAAUAGGUCCCGCAAUCAUUGUUCCAAUUUCUGUCAUAGUAUCAGUAAUAUUAUAUUUUAGGCUGUCAUAGCGUAUUAUUCGCGUGUUACGAUGGGGUUUUAAACGGAAUAAUUUGAUAUUAGUCAUUACAUUACAUUAGUGGCAUUACCCUUGCUGAGGUAAAUACGUUAGGAUAUGGAUGCCUGUGUGGUGAUGAUGCAGCUACUCUGUCGAAGAUUAACAGGGCUCACUGAUCUACAUGAUAAGGAUGAUUGGCCGGAUUUUCAGAAAAUGCUGUAAACACUGAAAGCUUACUACUAAUUCGUUACAUUGGGGAUUGUUUACCAUCACUGAAACGGAAAAAAAUACGUCGUCAGCUGGUAGGUCUAUGGCUCCUAUGGCAACACUGGGGCCUAGCCGUCUGUGAGAUAUAAACAGAGCCCUCUGGGCAAGCAGGCCAGCCUCUGCAACUACAUGCAUACAUGCAAAAAUACAAUUUGACAAACAUGAACAAUGUAUUUGCCCACAAAAGAGGAAUACAUUGUCCUUGCAAGUUGACUAUAUUAUCAGUGAUAUUUUUGCAAUUAAACCAACACUCUGCUUGUGUCAUCAUCACUAUAUUUAUAUUUGUGAAUAUCCGUAAUGUUUUUUCUCUGGAUAAGAUAUUACAGGUAAUUGUAUUCUCACCUAGCACUAGCAAUACAUGUUCACCUGCUUGUUCAUGCAAUUAUCCAAUCAGCCAAUAAUGUGGCAGCAGUGCAAUGCAUAAACUCCUUCAGAUACAGGUCAGAAGCUUCUGUCAAUGUUUACAUCAAACAUCAGAAUGAGGAAAGAUGUGAUAUCACUGACUUUCGACUGUGCCAUGAUUGUUGGUACUAGAUGGGCUGGUUUGAGUAUUUCUGAAACUCCUGGGAUUUUCACACACAACAGUCAGUAGAGUUUACUCAGAAUGGUGCCAAAAACAAAAAACAUCUAGUGAGCAAGAGUUCAGCUGACAGAAACGUGCUGUUGAUUGUAGAGGUUAGAGUUGAAUGGCCAUACUGGUUUGAGGUGACAGUAAGGCUACAGUAAGUUAGAUAACAACUCUGUACAACUGUGAUGAAAGGAAAAGCACCUCAGCAUGCACAGCAGACUGAAGACACAUCAGGUUCCACUCCUGUCAGCCAAGGGGAGGAAAUGAGAAAGGCAGGCAGAGGGCACAGGCUCACCAAAAGACUGGAGACUGGAAAAACUUAGCCUGGUCUGAUGAAUCUGGAUUUCUGCUGAGGCACGCAGAUGUUAGGGUCAGAAUUUGGCAUUAACAACAUGAAUCCAUAGACCCAGCCUCUCUUUUCUCAACAAUACAGGCUGCUGGUGGUGGUGUAAUGUCAUGGGCCAUGUUUUAUUGGCACACUUUGGGCCCCUUAAUACCAGUCAAUCAUGGUUUGAAUGCUACAGCCUAUCUGAGUACUGUUGUUGACCAAUUUACCAUCUUCCAAUGGCCACUUCCAGCCACGAUAAUGCACCAUACUCAAACUGGUUUCAUAAACAUGACAAUGAGUCCAGUGCACCCCUGUUACCAGAUUUGAAAGCAGUAUGGGAUGUGGUAGAACAGGAGAUUUGCAGCGUGAAUGUAGAAAUGAUGUGAUGUAAUCGUGUCAACGUGGAGCAGAAUCUCAAAGGAAUAUUUCCAACAUCUUGUGGAAUCCAUGCCACAAAGAAUUGGAGCUAAAAGGGAACAAAAGGAGGUCUUACCCAGUAUUAGUAUCAUGUUCCUAAUAAAGUACUUAGUGAGUGUAUACUUUAUUAUUCAUCUUCCUGCUCUUAGAUAUCAUUGCUGGUGGCAGUGGUAUGUCACGGGGCAUUUUGAUCUGGGUGGCCAAGGUUGGGUUUACAUCAAGCAAGGGUGGCACUGAUGAUGACAUUUUGGACCCCUGCCAACAAUGAAUAAACAGACACAGAUGUUACUGUCUUUAAUUUGAUGACCUGAACAAUGACAGUGGCUAUGUGAACUAGAGAGAAGGCUGUUAUUGCCAUUUCUAACCUAUUGAAUGGAUAGAUGGACUAACAUUACUUCUAAGAAGUAACUUAAGGUAUUUUAAACACCUCUGAGUCGAAGCUGCAAGGUGCCUUUUAUAGUGAUGAAUCCACAAAUAAUUAUCACUGCUCUAGUUCCCCUCAGCUUUCCUGAGCGCUUAUGGUAUUUUAGCAUUGUUUUUAGCUCAUUGUAUAGGUUUACAGCCUACAGAUUAUAUCAUCUUCAACUUUGUUGUAAGCAGCAGCAGGCUGAUUUUUCCAUGAAAAAGUGAUGUGCAGUGAUUAAUCCACUGUACACUACCUGACCACCACCAAACAGCUGACAAACAACAUUAAAGAGUAUUUAGCAGUGGAGGGAGUUGGUUGAAACCAAACCACAGUGAAGGACAGUGAAUACUGGACUUUAUCAUGUGGACACAAACUUGACGCCAAAUGAAUGCUAAUCUUGCUCUGUGUUGCUUUUAUGAUACUUGACCUAAAAUUAUUUUAUGAAGACAUUUAAUUCCUUUUCAGAUAAACAUGCACCUUUUAAGAAACUCUCAGUCAAAAACAGGAAAAUCAUCAUUUUAGUUCUCUGUGCUCAAUGUAAAGGAAACUGAGAAAAGUUUUUGAAAAAGUCAUUAUUGCAUAAUUCUACUUGGUCCUUACUCAGUGAAAUAAUUCAAGGUUCUACUACUUGUUUCCAUUGAAAAGAGAGCAUGUGAUGGGUUCAACAAACAUUAUUUCAUCAGGUCAUAUAUUUGAAAAUCCUGGAUUUCCUCCAGCUGUCUCUUAUCAUAGUGCACUUUGGUGGGAAAACAAAUCUGACACUCAGGCCUUUUUAUUGAGGCUUUUCACAAAUCUUGAAGUGUUUAAUACUCUUUCUUCUAAUGAUCCAAAGAAGUCUGCUGGAGCUGAUCAGUUAGAGCUAAGGCUGUUAUUAUUAGCAGCUCCAUUUUUAGUCGAAUGUUUGACUUAUAUUUUUAACUUCAGUUUAACAGAAAGCGUCCCAGACUUUUCGAAGGCUGCCUAUGUCCUACCUAUACCUAUAUAAGGGGUCAAUCCAAUUAGUUAAGUAAUUAUCAGUGAAUUUCCAAACUAUCAUGUAUAGUUAUAGUAUUAGAAAAGCUAUUGAACGACUGAGUGAAACAUUUCAUUUUUUUUACACUCUAUUUUAAAGUCUUAUCAAUCAGGUUUAAGACCAGGGCAUAGCACUGCAACAGCAGCAUUGGGAGGCUUAAAUGAUGUUGCUAGUGCAGUAGAUAACAAGCAGAAUUGUGUUAUCCUCUUUAUUGAUCUAAGACUUUACACAUUGUCAUUACAUUUUUUGAAACACCUAGAGUUUAUUGGAUUUGAUGAGAAAUUGCACAUCUGGUUUGCAAAUUAUCUCAAUGGCAGAGCACAGGCUGUGGUGGCUGAUGGUUCUCAGUCCAGCUUUACAGACAACAAACAACAACAAGAUGUGCCACAGGGUUCUAUUCUAGGACCACUUUUAUUCACAAUUUUUAAAAAAAAAUGGUGUAGAGUAGGUGUGAAGGUAUAAAGAUUUGUAGUAUAAUACAGUACAGUGUGAUUCAUUUGUAUGUGGAUGACAUUGUCUUGUACACUACAGGGCCCUCUGUUGCUCAGGCUCUCUAAAACUUGCACAUAGAUUUCUGUGCCGUACUGCAUGUUUAAGUUGAUUGUAAACUAAUGUUAAACUCAGAUAAAGUUACUAUUAUAUUACUACUCUCAAUGGGACACAAAUUGAAAGAGAUUCUUUUUAUUAAUACCUUUAAUUUCUGGCUCGAUGACCAGCUUUCCUUCAAAAAACUUCACUCACUCUUCAUUGAUCUUCAAUCAAUGAACUGACAAUGCCUUUAAAAGCAAAAAUGUCAUUUUUUAAAUAUAGAUAAGGCAUCCAUUACCCAGAAAUGCAGCAAGAAAAUUAUUCAGUCCCUUCUGUCUGUUAUGGACUACCUUUAUGUAAUUUAUAUGCACUCUUUUACCUCAGCUCUUAAACUUGUUGAUGUCUAUUAUUCUGUCCAUAGGUUCUUAAAUUGGGAUAGCUUUAGAACACAACGCCGGAUCUUUUCUAUGUGCAUUUGCAUUUAUUUUCAAUUACAUAUGUCCUAAAGAGCUAUAAAGGUACUUUUUUUGUGCAGUUCUCUCAUUUUCUGUGAUAAAGUGAUUAGUGAGUUAUAUUAGUAAUGCUGGCCUCCUCCUGUUCCAGUAAAUAGUUCUAGUUCUUCUAGUUAACAUCCUUAAAGUGCUAAGUAAUUACAAAUUCUGUCCAUUUAAUAAAAACUGUGUACCUUUCACAGGAUCUUGAAUAAUCAGUUUUAUCACAGUGAUCACAGGUAAACUGACUUUUGUUGCAGGGAUGACAGGUUUAUUCAUUUUUGUAGCAUUGAGGUUGUACUUAUGGGCCUGUAUGUUCAAUUUAGGUUAGGGUUAGAGGUCCUCUCUUCAGAAAAUGUCAUGCUCGGCAAUUAGAAAUGUGCAAUUCCGUAGCGUUUUGGACCAUUAUUAUUAUUAUUAUCAUAUCUGUGUACAAACAUUUGGAAAAGUUAGAACAGAUAAUAAAUAAAUAACAACUAAAACUGAUCUUGAAGACAACCCUUACCAAAGAAAUCCACUUGGGGCCAACUACAACCAGUUGAUUUGAGAUUAUUUAUUUUUCAUUUAGUUAGUUACAUUAAUUUGGCUUAGGAGGUGUCAAAAAUGGCUUGGCUGCUGCACCUAAUCCUCAUAGUAGCCACCCCCAGCUCUUAAAGAAAGAUCAUGGGAUAGCUUAUGGCCCAAUGAGCUAUUCUGACUUGUAUUAACCCCCUUGUUAAAACUCCCAGUUCUGUUUCUAUUAUUCAUGUCCACAUGGACUGUGAUCUGGAGCACAGCUUUUAUUUAUUAUUUAUUUAUUCUUCCUUAUUUUGGUAGUGGGGAUCACUAGUGGGGGGCAGAUUAUGGGUUAAAUUUUUAUUGGUUCGGGUACAUGGGUAAAAUAUUGUGAACAGCUGAGCUCAAUUCAUACAAGUUACUGUAUGUAUAGUAGCACUGGUAUGGUAUUAUUGUGUAACCCAGCUUAUUCCGAAAAUUACAACACAUGCUAAGUCAAUGCUAAAACCUCUUUUUGGCAUACUUUUUCAGUCACCACUGGCAAGUAGCACAAGUGUCAAUAGCUUGUACUAUAGGCAGAUUCUUUGGUAUGCCAAAUUCAUUUCAGCUUCCUGAUGAAAUAUUUCACAUAGCACAGUACUCCAAACCAAAAUGUGUGUGUUUUUGUUCAUCAGUGGUGUGAUGAUCUGUCAUGAGAAAGUCAUGUUAGCACACAUCAAAUGACAGGAAGUAGUGGUUCAGUUUGAUCUAUUUGUCUGAACAUAUAUGUUCAGGCUGGCAAGGGUCACAGCUGUUCUUAAAAUAUCAAAAACAUGUUGUUUGGCCACAUAAUUAGUGAUUAGUGAUGAUUAUGGCAGUAAGUAUUGCAGACCUUAUCUAACCAAUGAAAUGCUGACAUACUUCACAGUCACUGGGAUUUUUUGAUAAUUUUCAUCCUCCAUUACAAAGUUUAAAAGUAAAGAUGGUUUUAGAAUGUAGUUUUUUGGCUUUGUAACUGGUGCUAGAAAUAUUUUUAAGCACAGUAUGAUUUAUACAGUCUGGGUCAUAGUUUUACAUUUUUGACCAUCAGUCCUGUCAGAUAUAACAUUGUGCUCACCAAGUUAAUUUCAGAGUCUAACAACAAAGCAACAUCACCAAGGAGAGAUGAUCAGACAGGUUCUAAACACAUACCCAGCAUUUUACAAAUAUUUUAACUAUUAAUUACUAUGUCAAGUCCACAUUAAGCCACUGUCUCAGCACUGUAUAACCAGUCAUAGUAUACCACAUAUACAGGUUAUAUUUUAAAAUAAGCAGAUGUUGUGCUCUCAGUCAUGGCUUUAUGUAAUUUCUGUAGCUCUCAAUCAUAAGCCCCUUUUAUUCAGCCUGUUCUAUAUAAAAUGUGCAGACAUGAAAUGGGAUGCUGUUACACUGUUAAACCGGCAGUGAAGGUCGUCACAGGGCUGAAUCAACAUCUGUGUAAAAGGGAGAGCUGGCAUUGUUAGACAGGUCUGUGAUGUUUUGAUGAUUUGCUCUGUGCGCCACUUGCCACUGGGGGAUCUAAACAUCUCUGAAGAAACAGUUAGCAAUUAAGCCACAGGAGUCAAGGUGCUAUCACCUGAAAAUGUCUGCAAACUGGGGAGACAGCGAGGUCCAGGAGCUCCUUACCCUCAAAGCAGAGGAUGAAAUCACCUGCCAAAUAACAGAGACCGUAAUGGGUGGCCUGAUUUUAGAAAGGCUGGUAAAAAAGCUUCAAAAUCUCAGGUCAAGGCACAGGUGAAGCUAACUGAAAAAAAAACUGGUAUUUUGACUCAUGCCUUUCCAUUUGGGGGACCAGCCACUCUGCUCUACUGAGCAACAUGAAGAAGCCUGUUCCAGUGUCUCAUGCAUCUCCCUCCUGCAGUAGCAGUGCUGACACUGGAGAGUAAAAAUCGCUAAUCUGCACCUCGCAAUUGACCAGGUGGUGACAUCGGAAAUCAAGGACCUGUUGCUGGCAAUGGACUAUGAAGAUGAGGAGAGGGAUCACCUUUGAAUGGAGAGACAAAGGGCCCCAUGAGGAGCAGUUUCUGAAAGCAGAGGAAUGUCUUGGACAACAUAUUUCGAGAGAGUGUGAGAUGCAGAGUCAGGCCUCACUUCUGCAGGACCUGAGAGCACACCUGCCAGCUACUGGACCACAGCAUGUGACUCCUGCAGCCCAGACGCAGCAUUUUCCCUGCCACCAUGCAAUAGUAACAACCUCCACCACAGUGACAACACAUAUGACUCAUUUCUCUCCUGCUUCCUCUAGCAGCUGGGUUAUUUGUACAGUUAUUAAUACCUUGUUUUAUACUUAAGUGUGUACUUGUGUACAUGUUCAUCGGUGCAGCUGUGUUAUUUGUGCAGUUAAAUAAUGUUAUUCCUUGUAAAUAGUUAUUUGUUGUUUACUUUCUCUUUUGUUAUGUCCUUUUUCUUUGCAUGCCAUUUCUAGACAAUAAAACAUCUUUACCUGAC